rnacentral:rRNA from 1 species
GACGAACGCUGGCGGCGUGCUUAACACAUGCAAGUCGAACGGAAAGGCCCUGCUUUUGCGGGGUGCUCGAGUGGCGAACGGGUGAGUAACACGUGAGUAACCUGCCCUUGACUGUGGGAUAACUUCAGGAAACUGGGGCUAAUACCGGAUAGGAGCUCCUGCUGCAUGGGGGGGGUUGGAAAGAUUCGGCGGUUGGGGAUGGACUCGCGGCUUAUCAGCUUGUUGGUGGAGUAGUGGCUUACCAAGGCUUUGACGGGUAGCCCGCCUGAGAGGGUGACCGGCCACAUUGGGACUGAGGUACGGCGCAGUCUGCUACGGGAGGCAGCAGUGGGAAACAUUGCACAAUGGGCCGAAGCCUGAUGCAAAGGCGCCGCGUGCGGGAUGCCGGCCUUCGGGUUGUAAACCGCUUUCGCCUGUGACGAAGCGUGAGUGACGGUACUGGGUAAAGAAGCACCGGCUAACUACGUG